rnacentral:rRNA from 1 species
UAGUCCACGCCGUAAACGAUGGGCACUAGGUGUUGGGUCGGCUUUUGGUCGAUUCGGUGCCGUAGCUAACGUAUUAAGUGCCCCGCCUGGGGAGUACGCUCGCAAGGGUGAAACUCAAAGGAAUUGACGGGGGCUCACACAAGCGGUGGAGGAUGUGGUUUAAUUCGAAGCAACGCGAAGAACCUUACCAGGCCUUGACAUAGUAGGAUUAACCCUGUGAAAGCAGGGGGAUUGCUCGCAAGAGUGUAACUAUUACAGGUGCUGCAUGGCUGUCGUCAGCUCGUGCCGUGGGGUGUUAGGUUAAGUCCUUUAACGAGCGAAACCCCUAUGUUUAGUUGCCAGCGGGUUAUGCCGGGGACUCUAGACAGACUGCCGCGUUUAAGUUGGAGGAAGGUGGGGACGACGUCAAGUCAUCAUGGCCCUUAUGGCCUGGGCUACACACGUCCUACAAUGGAUGGUACAGAGGGUAGCGAAGUCGCGAGGCGGAGCCAAUCUCUUAAAGCCAUCCCCAGUUCAGAUUGCAGG